rnacentral:rRNA from 1 species
ACGCUGGCGGCGUGCUUAACACAUGCAAGUCGAACGGAAAGGCCCUGCUUUUGUGGGGUGCUCGAGUGGCGAACGGGUGAGUAACACGUGAGUAACCUGCCCUUGACUUUGGGAUAACUUCAGGAAACUGGGGCUAAUACCGGAUAGGAGCUCCUGCUGCAUGGUGGGGGUUGGAAAGUUUCGGCGGUUGGGGAUGGACUCGCGGCUUAUCAGCUUGUUGGUGGGGUAGUGGCUUACCAAGGCUUUGACGGGUAGCCGGCCUGAGAGGGUGACCGGCCACAUUGGGACUGAGAUACGGCCCAGACUCCUACGGGAGGCAGCAGUGGGGAAUAUUGCACAAUGGGCGGAAGCCUGAUGCAGCAACGCCGCGUGCGGGAUGACGGCCUUCGGGUUGUAAACCGCUUUCGCCUGUGACGAAGCGUGAGUGACGGUAAUGGGUAAAGAAGCACCGGCUAACUACGUGCCAGCAGCCGCGGUGAUACGUAGGGUGCGAGCGUUGUCCGGAUUUAUUGGGCGUAAAGGGCUCGUAGGUGGUUGAUCGCGUCGGAAGUGUAAUCUUGGGGCUUAACCCUGAGCGUGCUUUCGAUACGGGUUGACUUGAGGAAGGUAGGGGAGAAUGGAAUUCCUGGUGGAGCGGUGGAAUGCGCAGAUAUCAGGAGGAACACCAGUGGCGAAGGCGGUUCUCUGGGCCUUUCCUGACGCUGAGGAGCGAAAGCGUGGGGAGCGAACAGGCUUAGAUACCCUGGUAGUCCACGCUGUAAACGGUGGGUACUAGGUGUGGGGUCCAUUCCACGGGUUCCGUGCCGUAGCUAACGCUUUAAGUACCCCGCCUGGGGAGUACGGCCGCAAGGCUAAAACUCAAAGGAAUUGACGGGGCCCCGCACAAGCGGCGGAGCAUGCGGAUUAAUUCGAUGCAACGCGUAGAACCUUACCUGGGUUUGACAUGGAUCGGGAGUGCUCAGAGAUGGGUGUGCCUCUUUUGGGGUCGGUUCACAGGUGGUGCAUGGCUGUCGUCAGCUCGUGUCGUGAGAUGUUGGGUUAAGUCCCGCAACGAGCGCAACCCUUGUUCACUGUUGCCAGCACGUUAUGGUGGGGACUCAGUGGAGACCGCCGGGGUCAACUCGGAGGAAGGUGGGGAUGACGUCAAGUCAUCAUGCCCCUUAUGUCCAGGGCUUCACGCAUGCUACAAUGGCUGGUACAGAGAGUGGCGAGCCUGUGAGGGUGAGCGAAUCUCGGAAAGCCGGUCUCAGUUCGGAUUGGGGUCUGCAACUCGACCUCAUGAAGUCGGAGUCGCUAGUAAUCGCAGAUCAGCAACGCUGCGGUGAAUACGUUCCCGGGGCUUGUACACACCGCCCGUCAAGUCAUGAAAGUUGGUAACACCCGAAGCCGGUGGCCUAACCGUUGUGGGGGAGCCGUCGAAGGUGGGACUGGA